UGUAAAACAAGGAUUUCGUAGAUUCGAAAGAGUGGACAUCAAUGGAUCAUGGAAACCAGGAAACGAAAUGGAUUACUUUAAUGAAAUUGCAGAAUAUUUCUUCGGAUUGUACGUUGUACCUGUCAUUAUACCCAUUGGAAACAAUUGGAAGAGCCAAAAAAUGCAGAUACCUAUUAUUCGAUUAAAGUUUAACUCCUACGUUUACCAUUUUAUGUAAACCAGAGCGACAUGUCCGAUGUUAGUGUGUUAUGGCCGGAAGAAGUUGAUCAGAGUUUUUCAGAAUACACAACAGAUACUGAAAGUGAAUGGCUUUUAAAGAAAACAAAACUAGUGAAGGAUGAUUUUCUGUCUGAAAAUGUUAAUUCGGAAAACUGGUGUAACUUUGAUAUUAUCGUUUGUCAGAUGCUUA